UUGGGUGCGGUUAUUGUGAGGACUCCAUCGGAGGACAGACUCGAGGUGACAUCUGAGACUUUGUGGGUUGACGGCAGGAGAUAUCGUCUUACAAAGUGUCGGCUGAUGUAGCCGUGCUCAUCCUGCUUUUCCUCGUGUUUUGCCUCGACAAUAACAUUAUUGUCGAUUGUCUUCACUGUGAUUUCCUCAGGGGCGAAUUGCUGCACGUCCAGUAUCACCUAUGAAUCAACCCAGCGUGAAUAAGAAGAAACUGAAUCCAAUCACGAUAGUACAUCAGUAAAAUUUCAUCAGGAAAUCGCCAUGAAGACAUUACUAUAUUCAUCUUCACCCGAUCGCGAAUAGCGUUGGAGUUAAAAUUCAGUUGAUUACGGUUUGAAACGUUGAGCAGCUUUGCAAGCUCGCAAAAUGUAGUUUCAGGACUCGCCUGCUUGUCUAAAUAUCACCGGUAGAUGCAAGUAAGGCGUAUAAAUCAUUAUUAAGUUUUUUUACAUCGUUUAUGUAUCACAUUUUUAUUGCUAGCAGUAAUAUAUGAGAGAAUGAAUAGGUCAAUUUCCAAAUAUGCGGCUGAAGUCAUAAAAAGUACCGCGACAAAUCACACGUCGUAUGAUUAUUUUUACCAUACUUCUAUGAUAGAUUUAAAUCAUUCGAAACAGAAUUAUACAUAUAUGUAUGCAUGUAGGUAUAUACAUAUACAUAAAGAUGAAUAUCUAAGAGAAAUAGGCAGUUAUUCGUAAAUUUUCAAGGGGAAAAAAAGUUAAUGAAAACAAAACAUUUGUAAGUGGAUGAAUCGAAAUUGAUUUUCAUCAUAUAGUUAUGUACAAAGUAUUACGCGAUAUUGUACAUUUAUUUUUCUAUACAGAAUAUUUUAUUAAUUGAUAAAAA